AGCUAUGUGUCAGAGAAAAAUCAUUCCUGAACCCACCACUGGUGAGGGCAGAUUAGAUCCUAAACUGGUAAUGAAAAAUCAUGAAAACACGUGGAAGCUGUUUUUAUCUUCUGUUUGCCUUUUCAUAUACUUAAGUGCUUAUUUUGAAUACCUUUUCGUGUAUUUCCAGUUAUGUCUGUCAUAUUAAUCCCUGGUGACACUAUUGAGUAUAUGUCACAUUACACAGUACUGAAGAAUAGGCUUGAGCAGAAACCUCAGACAUCUGUGGAUUUGGUUGAAGUACAACUGUGCUUUACAUGUGAGAGUUGUCUCAAACACACAUGCAUUCCUCAGACUUGACUUUUGCAGUUAUAACAAAAAUUGUGUUGAUUUAGCAGCUUUAUCACUUUUUCUCCUUACUGAUUUCACAGUGAAGAAAUAAACAUAGUAAUCUUUGUGUUUCUUUAAUACUUGAAUGUAAAAUUUCCCAGUUUAUCUGGGACAAUGAGUAUAAUUAUACCAUUCUAGACAUGGGAUAUGUUCUGGACUAAAAAGGAAUAUUUAUAUUCCUGCAAAUACUAGUCUUUUCUUUACCAUAACUUCUGUGCGGGCUUUUGAGUAAUGAAGUUUUCCUUGGCCAGUUUAUCAGAACCAUUUAAAUGCUUGACAUGUGUAAACCAGUGUUUCAGAGCAUAUAAAAUCCAGUUUCAGUGCCAUUAAAAUCCAUAUAUAAAAUCCAAGUUCUCACCUGUAAUUAACGGGCAAUCACUUGUAAUUGCCCUAUGUCUCUUGUUUUUUACAGCGCUCUUGUACAAUCUUAUUACUCGGGUUACUCAUCAAGAUCUGGAUCCAGCUGCCCUGCCCUGAUUUCAGUUUUCAGUUCUGACAUGGGAUGGCUCCUUGUACAGCUCCCUGUGAACAGUCAGCCUGCAGGUCCUAAGGAGAGAUCAAACAUCGAGGUGAGCGUGAGCUUUCAUGGCAUUGGCAAAGCUGAACAUCACAGUAGCUGA
rnacentral:lncRNA from 1 species